rnacentral:lncRNA from 1 species
CCUCCGCAGCCCCCACUCAGAUGUCAGAAGACACAUCCAUCCUCCAUCUGCACCCACCCCACCGCCCACCUGCCCUUUGUCCACCUAUCUGUCCUUCCAUCCAUCUAUCAUCCAUCCGCUCAGCCACUAUCUUGCGAGUGCUAUUGUGUGCCCAGCUAUCUUCCAAGCUCCUGGGAUGUAUGCAUGAGCCCCUUGCUCGUGGAGCAGACAUUCCCAGGGUGAGGGCAGACAGCUCAAGGUCAAAGCCAGCAGCCCCCAGGGCUGGGAGGUGAGCUGAUUCCCGGAGCACCAGCGCACCACGCAAGGCCUGGGCGCCCCCGAGUUCUGGUAAGUGGCCGGUCCGGCUGUGGAAUGCAGGUUCCUGCUGAAGACAAUAGCGAGGGGCUGUGUGAAGACACACCUGGGGCCCCUGUGCACCCUUGGGCCGCCCUGUGGGGUCUGCGCAGCCCCAGGCCCUGCGUUUAUGAAGGAGGGUUGGGGCGAGCGCACCCACAGCUGCCCGGGCAUCCCAGGAGCUGCGCGGAACCGCCUGUCCCGCUGCCCCGCGCUGUGCUCCCCACGCCCCAGGAAGGCGGCCGCGCAGUCCCGGGCUCGCUCUUGCCGCGACCUCCCGGACCUCCAGGCCGCGGGCUCCGGGGGAGGGUGGGCACCAGGGAGCGCGGGGUGGGCGUGCGCGGGCGGGGCGGGCGUGCCGGGAGCUGCGGCGGUGUCUGCGCUCGCGAGUGCGCGGCGGGGGCGGGCAGGCUCCGCCCCGGGGCGGGAGGGGGCCGCGGGAUUAAAGGCCACCCCGGCGGGCGGGGAUCGGACUGUAGCCGGUACCGGCACCGGAGCGCGCCGGGUCCUCGCCGGGUCCCAGCCCCGCGCGUCGGCCCAGCCCAGCCGGGACCCCCCGCGACAUGCGCGUCCCAGCCCUGCGCUGAGCAGGCGGCAAUGUGGGGACUCGGGGCCCGGGGCCCCGACCGGGGGCUGCUGCUGGCGCUGGCGCUGGGCGGGCUGGCGCGGGCCGGGGGCGUCGAGGUGGAGCCCGGCGGCGCGCACGGCGAGAGCGGGGGCUUCCAGGUGGUCACCUUCGAGUGGGCCCACGUGCAGGAUCCCUACGUCAUCGCGCUCUGGAUCCUCGUGGCCAGCUUGGCCAAGAUCGGUAAGUGGCCCCGGGGUCUCCGGAUCUGCCCGCGGGGUGUGCGGCCGCCUCUGCUGGGCCUGGGGGCUUCGUUGUGGCCGCGCGCAUCAGGUCGGAGCCGCGCGGCGGCCGCCCGGGAGAGUCCGGCUCUCGGGUCCAGCAGAGCGAGACUCGGGAGCGACUCUGGCCGCGCUAAGCCGCCCCUGCGGGUCCCGAGGUCUCCCCUCCCCGGCGGGGGCACAGCCUCGGAGCCCCGGACUCCCGGCUCCCGGGUCCCUGUGGGGUCUCCGCCCCGCCUCCGCUCCGAGCCCCGCAGACUGCAGGCUGCUCGCGCCCAGGGAGUCCCCGGGGCCGGGUUUCCUUCGGGGUUCUCAGGCUUUUUAGAGAAACGUCCUUGGAGUGAUGGCGUUUUUUCGUGAGUUACAAGGGCAGAAAAGAAAAGCGGUGCUACCCGCAUGAAACCCAGCAGAAUCCUCCCUACAGGCGCAGCGUUCCCAUUGGCGGGCCUCCUUUUUUUUUUUUUUUUUUAGAAAAUCCCGGUCGGUCAGAUUUCUCUUCUUCUUAACCGGCGCCAAUGAACCAGUAAUGUGGGCACGGCAGGUAGCUCCUGGCAAGGUGACAG